AGAUUAAGUUAUUAAGGGCGCACGGUGGAUGCCUUGGCACUAGAAGCCGAUGAAGGACGUUACUAACGACGAUAUGCUUUGGGGAGCUGUAAGUAAGCUUUGAUCCAGAGAUUUCCGAAUGGGGAAACCCAGCAUGAGUUAUGUCAUGUUAUCGAUAUGUGAAUACAUAGCAUAUCAGAAGGCACACCCGGAGAACUGAAACAUCUUAGUACCCGGAGGAAGAGAAAGAAAAUUCGAUUCCCUUAGUAGCGGCGAGCGAAACGGGAAGAGCCCAAACCAACAAGCUUGCUUGUUGGGGUUGUAGGACACUCUAUACGGAGUUACAAAGGACGACAUUAGACGAAUCAUCUGGAAAGAUGAAUCAAAGAAGGUAAUAAUCCUGUAGUCGAAAAUGUUGUCUCUCUUGAGUGGAUCCUGAGUACGACGGAGCACGUGAAAUUCCGUCGGAAUCUGGGAGGACCAUCUCCUAAGGCUAAAUACUCUCUAGUGACCGAUAGUGAACCAGUACCGUGAGGGAAAGGUGAAAAGCACCCCGGAAGGGGAGUGAAAUAGAACCUGAAACCGUGUGCUUACAAGUAGUCAGAGCCCGUUAAUGGGUGAUGGCGUGCCUUUUGUAGAAUGAACCGGCGAGUUACGAUUUGAUGCAAGGUUAAGCAGUAAAUGUGAAGCCGUAGCGAAAGCGAGUCUGAAUAGGGCGUUUAGUAUUUGGUCGUAGACCCGAAACCAGGUGAUCUACCCUUGGUCAGGUUGAAGUUCAGGUAACACUGAAUGGAGGACCGAACCGACUUACGUUGAAAAGUGAGCGGAUGAACUGAGGGUAGCGGAGAAAUUCCAAUCGAACCUGGAGAUAGCUGGUUCUCUCCGAAAUAGCUUUAGGGCUAGCCUCAAGUGAUGAUUAUUGGAGGUAGAGCACUGUUUGGACGAGGGGCCCCUCUCGGGUUACCGAAUUCAGACAAACUCCGAAUGCCAAUUAAUUUAACUUGGGAGUCAGAACAUGGGUGAUAAGGUCCGUGUUCGAAAGGGAAACAGCCCAGACCACCAGCUAAGGUCCCAAAAUAUAUGUUAAGUGGAAAAGGAUGUGGCGUUGCCCAGACAACUAGGAUGUUGGCUUAGAAGCAGCCAUCAUUUAAAGAGUGCGUAAUAGCUCACUAGUCGAGUGACACUGCGCCGAAAAUGUACCGGGGCUAAACAUAUUACCGAAGCUGUGGAUUGUCCUUUGGACAAUGGUAGGAGAGCGUUCUAAGGGCGUUGAAGCAUGAUCGUAAGGACAUGUGGAGCGCUUAGAAGUGAGAAUGCCGGUGUGAGUAGCGAAAGACGGGUGAGAAUCCCGUCCACCGAUUGACUAAGGUUUCCAGAGGAAGGCUCGUCCGCUCUGGGUUAGUCGGGUCCUAAGCUGAGGCCGACAGGCGUAGGCGAUGGAUAACAGGUUGAUAUUCCUGUACCACCUAUAAUCGUUUUAAUCGAUGGGGGGACGCAGUAGGAUAGGCGAAGCGUGCGAUUGGAUUGCACGUCUAAGCAGUAAGGCUGAGUAUUAGGCAAAUCCGGUACUCGUUAAGGCUGAGCUGUGAUGGGGAGAAGACAUUGUGUCUUCGAGUCGUUGAUUUCACACUGCCGAGAAAAGCCUCUAGAUAGAAAAUAGGUGCCCGUACCGCAAACCGACACAGGUAGUCAAGAUGAGAAUUCUAAGGUGAGCGAGCGAACUCUCGUUAAGGAACUCGGCAAAAUGACCCCGUAACUUCGGGAGAAGGGGUGCUCUUUAGGGUUAACGCCCAGAAGAGCCGCAGUGAAUAGGCCCAAGCGACUGUUUAUCAAAAACACAGGUCUCUGCUAAACCGUAAGGUGAUGUAUAGGGGCUGACGCCUGCCCGGUGCUGGAAGGUUAAGAGGAGUGGUUAGCUUCUGCGAAGCUACGAAUCGAAGCCCCAGUAAACGGCGGCCGUAACUAUAACGGUCCUAAGGUAGCGAAAUUCCUUGUCGGGUAAGUUCCGACCCGCACGAAAGGCGUAACGAUUUGGGCACUGUCUCAACGAGAGACUCGGUGAAAUCAUAGUACCUGUGAAGAUGCAGGUUACCCGCGACAGGACGGAAAGACCCCGUGGAGCUUUACUGUAGCCUGAUAUUGAAAUUCGGCACAGCUUGUACAGGAUAGGUAGGAGCCUUUGAAACGUGAGCGCUAGCUUACGUGGAGGCGCUGGUGGGAUACUACCCUAGCUGUGUUGGCUUUCUAACCCGCACCACUUAUCGUGGUGGGAGACAGUGUCAGGCGGGCAGUUUGACUGGGGCGGUCGCCUCCUAAAAGGUAACGGAGGCGCUCAAAGGUUCCCUCAGAAUGGUUGGAAAUCAUUCAUAGAGUGUAAAGGCAUAAGGGAGCUUGACUGCGAGACCUACAAGUCGAGCAGGGUCGAAAGACGGACUUAGUGAUCCGGUGGUUCCGCAUGGAAGGGCCAUCGCUCAACGGAUAAAAGCUACCCCGGGGAUAACAGGCUUAUCUCCCCCAAGAGUUCACAUCGACGGGGAGGUUUGGCACCUCGAUGUCGGCUCAUCGCAUCCUGGGGCUGUAGUCGGUCCCAAGGGUUGGGCUGUUCGCCCAUUAAAGCGGUACGCGAGCUGGGUUCAGAACGUCGUGAGACAGUUCGGUCCCUAUCCGUCGUGGGCGUAGGAAAUUUGAGAGGAGCUGUCCUUAGUACGAGAGGACCGGGAUGGACAUACCUCUGGUGUACCAGUUGUCGUGCCAACGGCAUAGCUGGGUAGCUAUGUGUGGACGGGAUAAGUGCUGAAAGCAUCUAAGCAUGAAGCCCCCCUCAAGAUGAGAUUUCCCAACUUCGGUUAUAAGAUCCCUCAAAGAUGAUGAGGUUAAUAGGUUCGAGGUGGAAGCAUGGUGACAUGUGGAGCUGACGAAUACUAAUCGAUCGAAGACUUAAUCAAAUU
rnacentral:rRNA from 1 species